UACGGAGGUGGCGAGCGUUGUUCGGAAUCACUGGGCGUAAAGGGUGCGUAGGCGGCCGGAUAUGUUCGGUGUGAAAUCCCCCGGCUCACCCGGGGAACUGCAUCGAAAACUGUUCGGCUUGAGUGCAGAAGGGGAAAGCGGAAUUUCCGGUGUAGCGGUGAAAUGCGUAGAUAUCGGAAGGAACGCCAAUGGCGAAAGCAGCUUUCUGGUCUGUAACUGACGCUGAGGCACGAAAGCCAGGGUAGCAAACGGGAUUAGAUACCCCGGUAGUCCUGGCUGUAAACGAUGGGUACUACGUAGUGGGGCCUCUGACGGUCUCAUUGCCGGAGUUAACGUAUUAAGUACCCCGCCUGGGGACUACGGCCGCAAGGCUAAAACUCAAGGUAAUUGACGGGGGCUCACACAAGCGGUGGAGCAUGUUGCGUAAUCGAGGCAACGCGAAGAACCUUACCUGGGCUUGACAUGUACGGAUUAGCCCGUCGAAAGGCGGGUGACACCCUUGCGGUGGAACGUACACAGGUGUUGCAUGGCUGUCGUCAGCUCGUGCCGUGAGGUGUCGGGUUAAGUCCCUCAACGAGCGAAACCCCUGUCCUUAGUUGCCAGCGAGUCAUGUUGGGGACUCUAGGGAGACUGCCAGUGUUAAACUGGAGGAAGGUGGGGAUGACGUCAAGUCAUCAUGGCCCUUACGCCCAGGGCUGCAAACGUGCUACAAUGGCUGGUACAGAGGGAAGCGAGACCGCGAGGUGGAGCAAAUCUCAAAAAGCCGGCCCCAGUUCGGAUUGAAGGCUGCAACUCGCCUUCAUGAAGUUGGAAUCGCUAGUAAUCGCGGAUCAGCAACGCCGCGGUGAAUGUGUUCCUGAGCCU
rnacentral:rRNA from 1 species